rnacentral:lncRNA from 1 species
AGCACUUCCUUCCUGCCCGGAGUGGCAGUUGGGUCUGGUGACUAGUACUUCCUUCCUGCCAGGGUGGAACUUGCUGCCUGGUGUUGGAGGAGGUAGGAGCUUGUUCAGCCCAGUCUGGUGUGGUGUGCUGCCUCUUCCUGGUUCAGCCAGAAGAUUCAGGCCCAGUCGCUUCUGAAGAUCAUCUGAAAUCUAAUCACUGACCCUCAUCGGUCAUGGACCCCAGUUUAAGGAUUUCUACAUACCCCAAAGAUCAGAGUGGUUAAGAGACCUCUACAGGGUAUCUGCUCCAUCUCUUCAAGCAGCAUCCUGUUGUUUUUGUUGGUCCUUCAUUUCUGAAAGAACAUCAGUGGCAUCAUGGGGUAAUAUCUUGACUUGAACAUGAACUGGAUUUAUCUGAGACAGAACUGCACAAAGUCAUCAGUCUCACUUUCCCUUCUAGAGUCAUCAAUGUCCAAUGUUCUAGGAGCACUUCCAUGGAAUGCACAGAAUAGCCCAAAAGACGUAAAAUAUACUGGUCGAUGCUACAAUAAAGUUCUCAG